rnacentral:rRNA from 1 species
GAUGAACGCUAGCGGCAGGCUUAAUACAUGCAAGUCGAACGGUAACAGGUCUUCGGACGCUGACGAGUGGCGCACGGGUGAGGAACACGUACACAAUCUACCUUAUACUGGAGAAUAGCCCCGGGAAACUGGGAUUAAUACUCCAUAGUCUUUAAUGAUCACAUGAGAAAUAAAGUAAAGCUUCGGCGGUAUAAGAUGAGUGUGCGUCCCAUUAGAUUGUUGGUGAGGUAACGGCUCACCAAGUCGACGAUGGGUAGCUGGCGUGAGAGCGCGACCAGCCACACUGGCACUGAGACACGGGCCAGACUCCUACGGGAGGCAGCAGUAGGGAAUAUUGGUCAAUGGACGAAAGUCUGAACCAGCCAUGCCGCGUGGAGGAUGACUGCCCUCUGGGUUGUAAACUCCUUUUAUAUGGGAAGAAACCUCUGGAUUCACUCCAGAGCUGACGGUAUCAUAUGAAUAAGCACCGGCUAACUCCG